CAUGACUCACUCUGCUAGCACUAGUUCUCAGUCUCGUUCACAAUUUGCCCCCCCAACAGGCAAACAGUCUUCCACAGCCUCUCCCUUCAGGAAGGCUUGUGUUGUUUAUCUGCCUUUGUUAUGCAAGAUGCUUCAAAUGCUGUGCAUUCCACUCUUGGCUUCUUCCCCUCCCUGCUGCCUGCCUCUUUGCAGGAUUUCUGUGGAUGGUAGGGGGUCCGCUGCUUUCAGGGGACCUCUGCUCUGACAUACCCUGUUACUGGGGGGGCGUCAGAGUGACUAUAUGUCUAAAACAUUACCUACUGCUAAUGUUACAGAACGGACCCAGGGGCUACGGGGUCCCUCUGUCACUGUGGAUUCUUAGCCCACUGCCAGGGAAUUGGAAUUAUGCCUCUCAAUGCCAGAGUUUGGUGAAAAGGGAAGGAACUA